ensembl:lncRNA
AUGAAGAUAAGUAAUGCAAUAUAUUGGAAAAUAAUAAUAAUAUGCCUAUGGGGUUCAGGAACACAUCCUGUUUGUAUUCCACCGACCCCACCACUAUUAGGGUUGAACGACGGGACCCCUUUGGUUGAGGCAGCUAACCUAACUUUUACAGAGGGAGACCGUGUUAUAAAAUAUGACUUGGAAUAUGGCAAUUUUACAAUUUGGCAUUGGGAUAAUAGCCAUACCCUUAAUUUACCUAAGGGCCAACCUUUUUCAGGUUACUUAUUUAUAAAAUUAAACCAAAGUCAUAAAUAUUGGGCUGAAAUUUUGCCCAAUAAUGAAACUGGAAGGGAAUUAUAUAACUCAAAUAAAAAGAUACAUUGUAUUGCCAUAGAUAUAGAUGAUAAAGAAAUUAAAAAGGUCCCAGGUUAUGAAGACCGAGAUAUUGCGGCUGGAUGUGUGACAUGCCAUAGUACUGCUUGUCCCCAUAGUCUCCUGCCCUGCCAAUGCGGCUGGAAGGCUAAUAACACAUUAUUCUUAAAGGUCCAAUGGUGGACCCAAGUGCCUAUGGAAAACAUCACAGUUAGACCCGGAAGCCUUUGGGAACCUUUGUGGCAAACCCAAACCACAGCCUACCUGGGAGUCUCCUGGAUUUUGUUAAGUCUAACUUGGGACACCCAGAGGUUUUGGGUUGAUACUUACUAUCCCAAUUGUUCCCACUCCUUAGAUUUACAACGGAAACAACACCUAUGGUGGAUACAACAACACUGGCCAGAAAACAAAAAGAUAACGAAAAAAGACCUUAUAGGAGGGCUAGGAACAGGAUUACGUAUAUUGGGGCAGGCGGAAUUUGCUGCCAAUGAAGAACAACACAAUUUAGAAAAGGAUUCCUUAUCAAAAAUAGGGCAUGUUGAAGGAACUUUGUUUCAAGAAGAAGGUAAAGGAUGGGAAGUUCUUUUAAAAGAAAAGGAGUCCAUAGUAAGGUGGAUAAGUAAGACCAGAGAAACCCUACAAAGACAUUUCCAAACUCAAACCUGGGAAAGGGCAUGUAUUCUAACCCAGAAAGGAUUGCUCACCAUGUUAAAUCAGAUGGAAUCUGAGGUGGCUAUGAGACGAUGGCCUACUCUAAUGGAUGCUGAAGUGGAAACUCAAAAAUUAUGGCCUAUGUAUGGAAGCCCCAAGUUAUGGAAGAUUAUUAAUGGGAGCUGUAACUUGAGGCGUUGCUUUUUAAAGGCACAUGUGCCCCGGAUGGACCAUGCUAAUUCAUAUCCAAUAGUUCAGCUUGCAGGCAUAGGGACUAUAUUAAAUCAGACAAGGAUUUUGCCAGUGGGGAGUCGAUGGGCUGUAAUGCCAAAUGAGUCAGCUUGGGCUGCCAUAUCUCUUUCAAACUGUGAAGAGAGAAAUAAAAUCUGGCUGUGCCCUCAACAAACAUGGAGCCCUGAUUUCACUCAGGUCUGGCCCCUCGUCUCUAUCCCAAUAACCAAUAGCAUUUGGUACAUGGGUAGAGGGAAGUUUUGCUGGGAAGGUAAACAAGGGGAAAUAGCUGACACAGAGAGCUUUACCUGUGAGCAUAUGUAUCAUGUACUAAAUCAUACUGGAGUAUGGUGCAACACUGGAACAGUUGGUCGAAUACAUUUACAAAAGAGUAACAAGACUUACAGUAAUCUGGAUAUCAAAGAUCAAUCUUUCCUUGAAAUAGAAUUAAAUAUGCCUCAUGGAGUUGUUCCUAUGGAAACUGGAUGGCCAAAGGAGGAAUUGAGGAUUGAGGGCCAUGAACUAAUUCGGGUGCUUAAUUAUUCUAAUCAACAAUAUCACGAGAUCGAAACAAAUAUGGAAGAGGGAGGAAAAACUAUUGACAAAUUCAUAAAACAAUAUGACCAGACAUGCCAGAGAUAUUUUGGGUGGCUACAAUGCAUCUUUCUUUCCCAUGGUGUGGCUUCUUCCCUGGGAGGCAUUGCAUUUGGAAUAUUGAUGCUUGUUGGUCUGAUAGUCUUUUUAUAUGUCAUUUGUAGAUGCUGUCGCAUACGCCAGAAAAAUAAGACAUCCAAGAAAUUUUGCUAG